UACGAAGGGUGCUAGCGUUGCUCGGAAUCACUGGGCGUAAAGCGCACGUAGGCGGGUUGUUAAGUCGGGGGUGAAAUCCUGGAGCUCAACUCCAGAACUGCCUUCGAUACUGGCGACCUUGAGUCCGGGAGAGGUGAGUGGAACUCCGAGUGUAGAGGUGAAAUUCGUAGAUAUUCGGAAGAACACCAGUGGCGAAGGCGGCUCACUGGCCCGGUACUGACGCUGAGGUGCGAAAGCGUGGGGAGCAAACAGG
rnacentral:rRNA from 1 species